UCUCUAACUUUCAUUUUUCGAGCCAAAAUAUUGCGUUUCUUUCUUCGAACCCUCACCAGCAUUCCCCCUUUGUCGGAGACAUCAAACCCUCACCAGCUUUCUCGUUUCUUCCAGCCAUCAAACCGUCACCAACAUUGCCCAAAUUUGGGAGGUUUUGUUGUCGGAGGUCGUCUCAGUCACCAACAUUCCCCAACGUUCCGUGGUUGUAGGGGCUGCGUCACAAAUUUGUUGUGGGUGCGUCAGGAGGGCUUCGUGGAGGAGGGCACAACGGUGAGGAGGGGCUUCGUGGUGUGUGGAAGAGGCAACAAUCGAAGAAAACCCAGCUGCUGGACUUGUCUGGCGUCGAUAUUUUCCAACUUAGAGACCUUAUUCAUUUGAGGUAGCAUCUUUAGGAAGAGGAGCUAAAACAAAAUAUUGGUUGAAUAGGGAAGUUUCAGGCAGCUGUAAGUGGUAGCUUCAGUUCAAAAAUCUACAACCUAACAUGGCCCAUUUUCCCAAUCAUCGUGGAUGGAUGUACGAUCGUUGUUAUAGUGGAAAGGUUUGAAGGAAUCUUUUGUCCUUGGAGUUGAAGAGUUUGUGGAGACGGCCCGACGAUGUCAAUAUUAUGCCCUUGAUGGAGGGAUUCGAUGUCCAUGCAUCAAGUGCGAAUGUACAAUGAUUUUGAAAGAUGAAGUCGUCAAAGUUCACCUUUACCAAAAAGGGUUCAUGCCUAAUGUACAUUAUUAGUUUCAUUUGUUUAUUAUAACUUAGACAAACAUUUAGAUAUUAUAACAUUUUGGACUUUAUAUCAUUUCAGUGUUAAUUUUAUCUAC